rnacentral:tRNA from 1 species
GGGCCCGUAGAUCAGAGGUAGAUCGCUUCCUUGGCGUGGAAGAGGCCGCGGGUUCGAGUCCCGCCGGGUCCA